ensembl:lincRNA
GGAAACAGGGCAUGAAAUUGCACUGGGUCUUGUAACAGCUCCGCCAGUCGGGUGGCUGCACUAAGGACCCCGCGCAGCCUCGCCAGGGCCGGCACUCUGAGCUGGGCACCCCAAACCCGGUGGUCAGGCAGUGGGGUGGAGGUGGGUCUGACCACUUCCCGGAGUGGCUGCGGAGCCAGGAGGCAGUGGCGGGGGAGCCUCAGCUGAGGACACUCCCAGGAGCCCAGGAGGGCAGCUCCGUUAGACAUCAGAGCAAAUCCCCAGGAAUUUAAGGGAUUUGGUGCAUUAAUAAGACCUGGAUCCAGAUGAUCAGAAGCAUUUCUUGAGGUGACUGCCUAGAAGCCACUGAAGGCCUCUAGCUGGAGCCCGGCUGUAGGAAACCCUCCCUUCUCUCUGCAGCCCCAGGGGUGAGCUGGGAUCUCUGGAGAGAGAAUGACGAGCAGACUCACAAGUACCUGCUCCCGCUGCCCAGCCUGGGCCAGCUCUCUCGGGCUGUGCUCAGCACCAGCAGGUGUAGGGGUGUUGGGAGUGAGACAUGCUCCCUGUUGACCCAUGGGGGACCGGCUUUCCAAAUGGGUCUUCCUCUGAGGCAGGAUGGAGUGGGACAAGGGGAGACCCCUGAGCGGCUGUGGGCAACUGGCUUGCUGGGCCCCAGCUCAGGGCUCGGCCCCCUUUGGUCUUUACAGGCUGCUUUCCUCUGGCUCAGCUCCCACCCAGGGCUCCCCUGUCUGCUGGGCCCCGCUGGCUUUUCAGAAAGCCAGAUCGACCUAGGGAACCAGUGCCACCUAACAUGGAGCACGUGUUCCACCCCAGGCCCUGUGCCUGAGGUGACAGACGUUAGCCCAGGGUGCCCUCAGCUCUCACAUGUAACCGCUACCUUCGUUCCAAAGGCAAGAACCAAACCCGGAGUGGCAGAGAUCACCGUGGAAGGUGAUGGCCCAAACUGCGCGCCCUCUCACGCCACCAUGAAAACAGCAAGCUCACCGCUGCGGCAGCCUGGGCCGCCGGGUCGGUGCCACUCGCCCUGUUGCCUGCUGUCUCCGCCAGUUAGUAUGCAUUUCCGGUGCAGCACCCAGUGCCCCGUAUGUGGGACUGGGGAUAAAGAUCUGGCCAAGAGAAGGAAGCACCAGAGGCUCCUUUCCGGUGCCUCCCUGCCCUCCGUCCUGGACGCUUCAGAGAUCAUCUCCCAGGCAGAGGGGUGCAAGCACAGGGGCCGUAGCCCCCGAACUGUCCUGUGGGGCUCGUUCCAGGCUCCUCUGCGAGGCGCCAUGGCCUAUGCAGCCCCAGCUGCAGAAGACGGGUGUCUGACAGUGGCGGCUCCCUGGGCUGCACAGGCUACCGCGGAGCAACAAGGCCACGUCUUCCGAAGACUACAGCAGCCCCGCUCUGCCUGUUUACAGAAGAAAGACUCUAAGUGAAUGACAAACAUGUACCAGGUACUGCCUCUGCUGGGCAGUGCACUUAGCAACCCCCAGCAUUACCCUCCCCUGUGAUCUACUCUGAGGACCGCCAGGGUCUGCAGAAGGACCUCGGGGACAGACACCCCUGACUCGCCCUCUGGCUGGGCCUCUCCUCCGCCAUGAGGCCCACCCGGCCCCCACCCCCAUUAAAUACUGUGACUCCAGCUGCUCUGACCGUAGCAUUCACUGGGUGGGGUGGGACAGGCACACACAGGACCUCCUCCUGUCCUGCUCUUCCUCCCUUGCUUCUAACACACCACACCAUCAACUUACCAGGCCCAGGCCAGGGUUGGGCUGGACCACGUAGAUGCUCCCUGAAUAUUUAUCAUCUAAAUAAAAGAGUCCUCACAGUAACCUUUGCGAGUAAGCACAGGCCCUAUCUUCACGAGGCAGAUGGAGAAACUGAGGCAGAAAGAGCUUUGGUGACAUGCCCAGGGCCACACAGUGCUCGAGCCCAGUCUGCCUGACCCCUCUCACCUGGCUGGACGCUGCCCAGGAGAGACAAGUGUGGGGCAUCCUGUCCGGCUGGUGUCGGGAUAGUGUUGUCC